UACGUAGGGUGCAAGCGUUAAUCGGAAUUACUGGGCGUAAAGCGUGCGCAGGCGGUGAUGUAAGACAGUUGUGAAAUCCCCGGGCUCAACCUGGGAACUGCAUCUGUGACUGCAUCGCUGGAGUGCGGCAGAGGGGGAUGGAAUUCCGCGUGUAGCAGUGAAAUGCGUAGAUAAUUGGGGAGGAACACCAGUGGCGAAAGGCGGCUCACUGGACCGGUUCUGACGCUGAAGCGCGAAAGCGUGGGGAGCAAACGGG
rnacentral:rRNA from 1 species